CGGCCAGCCUCGCACUGGCUGCACAGCGGCUUCUCGGCCACCACAAAGAGAAGAUUGGUGUUGGUCAGUCUCUGCGCGUGGAACAGCCUGCGGGCAGCCCGGAAAGGCGGGGCGUUGAGUUUGCCCCGCCCUGACCCACCCCCAUCCUGCGGCCCCGCCCCCGGCCGCUCGGAGGCCCCGCCCCUUCCAUCCUCCCGAGCGUCUCGCCCCGCUCACAGGUUCCGCCCUUGGCCUCUGGUCCCGCCCCACUGCCAGCACCUGGAGCAGUUUCCGCAGUCGAUGAUGGCGUUGUAGGAGGCGUUUACCGAGCCGAAGUAGUACUGGGUCUGUUUCAUGACGCAGCUGCUCUCGCGCGUCUCGGGGCUCCCCUCGGCCUCCGCGGGGUCUGCGAGGGCCCAGAGCGCCUCAGCUCCGCCCACAGACCCUGGCAAGGUCUCCGGCCUCCCUCAGUCGUAGACCCCACCCUCCCCAUGGAGUCGUCUUAGCUCAGAUUGGGGACCCGGACUUGAGGAGGCGCCUCCAAAGCCCUACCUACCUGCUUGGAACCAGCUGUGGUAGAUGAGGCCGUAGAGAAGCUGCUGGAACAGGGACCUGCAGCGCACGGGGAGCCGAGUGCAGGUGGUCAGCAGAGGACGAUGCCAUGCCCUACUUCUCUUCUGAGCCCUCCCGGCCAGGGAGCACCUUCUCUACCCACCUCCCGCUCAGGACUCACCAGGCGGCAGCAGAGGUCCACCAGGCCAGGUUAAGGAAAUCUGCAACGGUGGGCUGCAGUGGAGAGAGGGGCGUGGACUGCCACUGCUGCCCCUCGCCCUAGGUCACCCCCAGCUUUAUCAAAUGUCAGAGCACCAGGAAUCCUCCAUCAUCAAUGAGGACACAGAGCUGGGUGAUGCCUACGUGUUGAGAUCCUGGUCCCUCCACACACGCUCUACCAGCUGCUGCGUGAUGCCCGUGUCCAAGAUCAGGUUGUGCAGAAGGAAGUUGUUGCCUGGAACAGGAGGGGAGGGGUGGGGGUGGGGGCAUCUUCUUGCAGCUCCUUGCCCACCCUCACCCCCACCCUUAAGGCUCCACCAGGAGCCUCCUCCAUGACCUGGCCCUGGCCCAGGCCCAGCCCUUAGCUUGUGCCUGCUUAUUUCCACACCUGCCCGGCCUCUGGGUUCCUCUGGGCUGGCCCCAUGCUGCCUGGGCACUGCCCAGAGCCAGCUGCCCUGCCAGGCACUCACACUGCUUGGAGUCUGGAGUCACUUUCUCCAUGAGCUCAAUAAAGUUUUUCAGGAACUCGGUGUUGUUGUCUGAGGCAUUCAGGUCCUUGCAGUACUCUCUAGGGAUGGGGAGGGGCAAGAAGAGUGGGCUUGGGGGGCUGGACAGGGCAAUGGGGUCAAGGCUUCCCAACAGGCCCACUUGGCCAUUCACUGAGAAGCCUGGGCCUCAGGGAGGGGCACAUGGGUUCUUCCUGGCUGCAGCUGCUACAUGCCUGGCAGGCUGCUCGGGUCUGAGUCGGGGCAGAGCUGACACAAGAAUGAGGGUCUACUUUCUCCAUUCGGGCAGCUGCUUUCUCCUGGGCAUGGCUCCGCAGAGCCUCCCGUCUCUCCGGUGUAGCUGGACCCAGAUAGUGCACCUGAAAGGCCCCAGGAAAUGCCUGGCGGCCUGCUCAUCCACGUGUAUGCCCUAGAGCAUUCCCAUGGGCACCAGAUGGGACCCAAGUACAAGCACUGGCUUUUUGUCAGCCUAAGACCUCACCCUGCCUCUUCCUGGCUGUGUGCCGUUAGGUAACUCACUCACGCUCUCUGACCCUCGCUUUUUUCA
rnacentral:lncRNA from 1 species